rnacentral:ncRNA from 1 species
UACGAGAGGACCGGGAUGGACGAACCUCUGGUGUACCAGUUGUCACGCCAGUGGCACCGCUGGGUAGCUAUGUUCGGAAGGGAUAAGCGCUGAAAGCAUCUAAGCACGAAGCCCAUCUCAAGAAGAGAUAUCCCGUAGGUUUACCUACCUGAAGGCUCCUUGGAGAUGACGAGGUUGAUAGGUCGCAGGUGUAAGUGCAGCAAUGCAUUGAGCCGAGCGAUACUAAUAAGCCGUGCGGCUUGACCAU